rnacentral:lncRNA from 1 species
UUUUUUUUUUUUUUUUUUUUUUUUCAGGGCUGCUCAUGCAGCAUAUGGAAGUUCCUAGGCUAGAGGUCAAAUUGGAGCUGCAGAUGCCGGCCUACACCACAGCCACAACAAUGCGGGAUCUGAGUCACAUCUGCAACCUACACCACAGCUCACGGCAAUGCUGAAUCCUUAACCCACUGAGUGGGGCCAGAGGUCAAACCCACAUCCUCAUGCAUACCAGUUGGGUUUUGGGUUUGUUACCACUGAGACACAACAGGAAUUCCCAAAACAAGAUAUUUUAGAAUACAGACAUAUGCAAGCGUAUAUUCUAUUUGCUGACAGCAUAUGUGUCAUCACAUAUCGCAGAGCAUCUGGAAGAAAGAAUGAGAGUAGCAAAAAAAAAAAAACUCUUAGCAUUGUUGUGAAAAUAGUUUUUUUCCCACAGUCUUUCUGAAAGGGUCUUCACACCAGGGAUCCCCAGACCACGCUUUGAGAAUCAUGCCCCAAAGUAAUAAUUUGUUGUUGUUGUUGUUGUCUUUCAUGUUUUUAGGGCCACACCCGCAGCAUAUGGAGGUUCCCAGGCUAGGGGGUCUAAUCAAAGCUGUAGCUGCCAGCCUACACCUCGGCCUCAGCAACGCCAGAUCUGAGCCGUGACUACGACCUACACCACAGCUCAAGGAAAUGCCGGAUCCUUAACCUGCUGAGCGAGGCCAGGGAUUGAACCCACAAUCUCACGGUUCCUAGUCGGAUUCAUUUCUGCUGCGCCACAAUGGGAACUCCCCAAAGUAAUAAUUUUUAUACUACUUUAGUUUAAUUUUUUUCCCUCUAACUUGAAGUCCCCUCUCCCUAAUACCUGUAGCUUUGCUUUUAAUGAGACAUCAAAUAUGGUCAUUUUAAAAUGUAUGAUACAUAAUUAUUGCCAAGAGCAUAAAUAUAAAUGUUAUUUUUUUAUAAUUAACAACUACUAACUUGAGGUUGUUUAGAGGACAUUUGCACAUUUGUCAGUUCUGGAGCAUAGACUGAAAUCUGGUCUUGAGGGAUUUCUUUUAUGGUUUUCAGGUCAGUCUUGAUAAUAUUCAUAUUAUGGCAAUGCAUCAUAAUAAUGUCCAGUUAACAAAGUUUUUGCAUUCCACUGUCCUGUAGAGGUACUAUUAAUUCAGAACAACUUUAAGUGUGAUUUCUACCUUCCUUCCUUUCCAAAGUGGAAACACUAUUCACUCACACAUUUGAAAUACAAAGAACAAAAAUUAAGUUAUAAUUUAGCUUUCUCAUUUUUCCACUGAAAAAAGAUACUAGACUCAAAGACUUAGUGUUAAAAUUAGACUAUUACAAUUCUCAAGUAUUUGCUUUUGUUUCCUUACUUGUCCUCCCAUCUCUACCCCUCCCUCCCCCAAAAGGCUAUGAGCUCCUGAAAGACAGAAUUAUCUUGUUCAUUUUUGUCCCCUUAGGUUUUGGUCUAAUACCUGGUACAUAAUUAGCUUGACAAAAGGGUGUUUAUGGAUCAUUGAAUCAACAAAUAAAUAAUGUCUCCUUAAGUAAAAGAAAGUUCAACUUUCUAAUUUUUCAAUAGGUAUACUUAUAUUUUUAUAUUUAUAGACUUUUGAAGGACUCUGUUGUGCUUUUAGUUUGCACUGACUAUGUUUACAGCACUUCUACAGGGUUCUCUCUUACCUGAGGUGGUAGGGAGUACCAGUACUGGUGGAUCCUUUUGUCCUUGCCUCCUCUUGCAGUUCUGUGGUAGACCAAGCACUUGAACUUUUGCACUUAAUGAUCUUUGUGGCAUUUAACAGGACCUUGUUAGGGAGUGACCACACUUGCUGGCAGUGUGUGUGUGUGUGUGUGUGUGUGUGUGUGUGUGUGUGUGUGUGUGUGUGUGUAGGCACAACAGUCUGCUUUGACCCAGUGGGGAGAAAUGUGAACUGAUUAUAUAUGCUACAGUCUUCUCCUUCUCCAUGUUCUUUUAUAAAUUACUUCUCUCCCUUUCUCCUCAUAUCAGUAGGAAGGUAUUUUUCCCCAAAACUCAAAUAGAGUUUAUCACCUCAGUUUACCCCAAGGCAUAGCUCUUUGAAUAGCCAUUCCAGGUGGGCCAAAAAUCAACCUAUUUCCCAGAAUAUGCUCUCCACCUAAGUUCUUAGCUCUCCAGGGGGAUCUGUGAGUUCCAUAAGUAAUUUCAUAAAACUUAGUACUUGAUGAACAUUCUAGAUCUACAGUGUAUGUCUGUAGUCUACAGUGUAUGUGUGCAUAUAUAUAUAUGUAUAUAUACUUAUUAUAUACGUGUAUGUGUAUGUGUGUAUAUAUGUAUGUAUAUGUAUAUAUGUAUGUGUGUAUGUAUGUAUAUGUAUAUAUAUGUAUAUUAUAUGUGUGUGUGUGUAUAUAUAUGUAUGUAUGUAUGUAUUCAUUUUAUUGACACUCCUGCAGCUUAUGGAAGUUCCCAGGCCAGGGAUCAAACCCACACCUCUGCAGCAACAUGAGCCACUGCAGUUGGAUUUUUAACCCAUUGUCACACAGCAGGAACUCCUACAGUGUUAUUUUUUAAAAGGUGUUUAUAGUUGAGUUUUUUACUGUAAUAAAGUUGACUUCAAAUGCCAUCUAAAGUGAUAGGGGUUGACUUUUAUCUGUGAGAGUUCUCUAAAAAUUUGUUUUUCCUUGGAAAGGAAUCUUUACAUUAUUAAAGCUUUGAGAACCUGGCUCAGAUAAUUUCUUUUAAUAGUAAAUAAGCAUAGCUACUGAAGUUUUUUGCUGAAUGGCAGUUGCUGGUUGAAAAAAGUCUGUAAUUUACUAAUUUAACCCUUUUUACAAGUCUUGAAUUUUCUUUUUGUUUUUGUUGAAUGUACAUGCAGUGACAUAGCAGGUAAGGAUGUUUCCCUGAUAUGUUAUAGCAGUCUCUAGUUGGACCGUCAAAUUUGCUACAGUCACAUCCUCACCUUUGAUCUAAACUUCCACACCAUUGCCCACCUCCCUGGAUUAAGAAGGCACAAAACUUCUGCCUGCAGUUAUGCAUUUCUUCCUCAAAUUUUAAUGAAGUAAAAUUUAAAAAAUUUACAAAUGGGAAGCCGAGUAUAAGAAGUUCGUUUUCAUUAUUUUUGAUGACUGAUUUCCUUCAUGAUGGUUUUCUUUACUUUAGAACAAGCACAUGCUUUCCAGAGCAGAUGACAGUAUAGAUCGACACUGGAGAUUAUUGAAGCAUAGUUGAUUUACAAUAUUGUGUUAAUUUCUGCUGUACAGAAAAAUGAUUCAGUUAUACAUACAUAUAUAUAUAUUUUUUCAUAUUAUUUUCUAUUAUGGUUUAAUCACAGGAUAGUCAAUAUAGUUGCCUGUGCUAUACAAUAGAACAUUGUUAUUUAUCCAUUCUAUAUAUAAUAGUUUGCAUCUGCUAACUCCAAAUUCCCAAUCUACCCCUCCCCCACAAUCCUUCACCCUUGGCAACCACAAGUCUGUUCUCUCUGUCCAUGGAUCUUUCUGUUUGGUAGAUAUGUUCAUUUGUCUCAUGUUUUAGAUUCCAAAUAAAAGUGAUAUCAUAUAGUAUUUUUAUUUUUCUGACUUACUUCAUUCAAUUUGAUAAUCUCUAGUUCCAUCUAUGUUGGCGCAAAUGGCAUGAUUUCAUUCUUUUUUAUGAUUAAGUAAUAUUCCAGUGUAUAUAUGUACCACAUCUUCUUUACCCAUUCUUAUGUCACUGAACAUUUAGGUUCCAUGUCUUGGCUAUUGUAAAUAGUGCUGCUAUGAAUAUAGGGGUGUGUAUAUGUUUUUGAAUUAGAGUUUUGACUGGAUAUAUGCCCAAGAGCCAGAUUGCUAGAUCAUAUGGUGACUCUAUUUUUAGUUUUUUGAGGAACCUCCAUACUGUUUUCCAUAGUGGCUGCAUCAGUUUACCUUCAAACAUAUGUAGUAGCAUUCUCUUUUCUCCACACCCUUUCUAGCAUUUAUUGUUUGUGGACUUUUAAAUGAUAGUUAUUCUGAUUGGUGCAAGGUGAUACCUCACUGGAGUUUGGAUUUGCCUUUCUCUGGUAAUUAGCAAUGUUGAGCAAUUUAGAUUUUAAAUUUAAAGACUUAAAACCCUUAAAAAAAAUUGGCUUCCUCUUUACUCAGCUAGUGACUUGGAAAUAGUAAUAGCCAGAAUAGAAUUCAGUGCUUGCCAAAAGUAUUCAGGAAAUGUUUUCUUAUUUCCUUGGAAUUGCCUAAAGCAUUGUUUUUCAUAAUUCACAGAAGUUUGGCUUUCAGAGCCAUUCUGUUUCCAAAUUCUUUUGUAAAUUCCUAGAAAGAAUUCUCUAAAAAUGUAUUCAUUUAUUUGUUUAUUCAUUACACUUACUGAGCACCUGGUUUGUGAGAGAGACUAUGCCAAGAACUAAAGGCAAGGAAAAAAAAAAUGAUACUUUUUGUCUAGUGGAAAAAAUUGAAUUUCAGGAGCAUUAGAAUUUUAAGAUGAUCAUAUCUAAUAUACUCAUGAACAGAUGGAGAAACUGAGGCCCAGAGAGUUUAUAUGACCUAAAGUAGAAUUAAGUUAAAAACAGUUUAUUUGAUUUACAAAGGCAAUUUGAAUUGAAACACUUUUGAAACACCAAUACUUCUUUUAUAUUGAGUUAAGAAUUUUUUUUUAAUGUUCUAAAAUUAACAAAUAAGGUCAGUGCUCAAUUUCCUGGGUCAGUGCCACAUGGUGCCCUUUGUCCUUGGAACCAGUCCAUGGUCUGGCUUGGCAACUGAAAGACCCAAUGACCUGAGUUUGGCCAUUAGUAUAGGGGUUUUAGUGUCUACUGACUAAAUGUACUUGGGAUACCCAUUUGCUCAGGUAUUGGGGAUCAGCCUUUUGUUACAGAACAUCACUAUUUCUGUUAAGCUCAUUUUUCAAUAUUUUGAAUUAUAUAUUUAAAUUCUUGAAAAUUUAAAUUAACAAAUCAGAAGCUUCUAGUAAUUUUAACGAUAAAAAGUUCUGACUUUUGUAUUGAUUUAAAAAUAGAAACAGUCUUGAAUUAGAGUAAAAACAUUUUCAUUUAAUUAGAUUUAACAUGAACAUUCUGUCCCCUGCUGGGAACUCUAAGAACUACAUCACCGGUACCACCAAUUUUUCUAUGGUCAUAGGGACUUUAGGUUAAACCUUGAAUUCAGUUUUCUAUAUGUUCUUUCCUUUGUUUUGGUAAUACACAGAAAAUUUUUAAAUAAAAUCUGUAAGGCAUUACUUUUAUUAAGGUUCAAUAUCUGUUAAAUAUUGCACAUUUUUGCAUGAUAUAAUGAAUCUAAAUACACUGUAAUAAAAUCAAAUCUUCACCUUCAUUUUAAAUAUGAAUAAAUAUUUUUCAUCUUCGCUCAAACUUAGAGGAGAAAUCUGAUGAGAGAGCAGGUGAAAUUUAAAUACUUGAUUAAAAUAUUUGAUUUUUUUAAAAUAUUCACUGUUUGGUUGUAGGUAGACAUCGAGUAUAUUUAUAUACAACAUUGCCCUACCCAUAGAAAGGAGUGGGUAAUCACUUGAGCAAGUGCAAAGUUAUGGACUGGAGUAUGGACUAUGGGACAAACCAACAAUUUCUUGGGUGUAGCUGGAACGGUGUAUACAUAGGAUAUUUAUCAGUGUGGAGUGGAGAACAAAUGCGAGACUAGAAAUAAGAUGAUAAAACCUUCCCUCUCCAAAACCUAUGAAUAAUAAACACUUUUGCCAGCUAGUAUCUAUGAGCUCUCUGGCUUUGGACAACUUAGAAACUUUCAUUUCCUCAUCUGCAAAGUGGAAAUAUUAGUCAAGUUGUGAGGACUAAAUGAAAUAAUGAUGUAAAGUACCAAGAACAGAGUCUGGGGCUAAGUAAAUGCUUAAUAAAUACUAAAUAUUGAAAUCAUUGUCAACAUCUAACAACAGUAAUACCAGUAGAAACCUAACAAUUUUUAUAUCACUGAUAUUAAUUUGUUAGAAAUCUUAAUUGAAAAUAUAUAAAUUUAAUUUUUGUAAAGAGAAUACAUAUGAUAUACUCAGAGGAAGAUCUAAAGCAAAAUCACUAGAAAACUAGAAAGAAAACAGUGGGAAAAGAUCUUUCAGGCAAAUGCUAACAAAAAGAAAGCUGUAGUCAUGAUAGUAGGAUAAAAUUUAAGGUAGAAAGUAUAAUACAAGGUGAAGGAGGAAAUCUUAUGAUGGCAGAAGCUCUACAGAGAAGGUAUACAUUUCAUAAACCUUAAAGCAUUGAAUAAUAUAAUAAUAAAAAUACAUAAAGAAAACUGCAGAACUACAAGGAAAGAUAGAAAGUAGUACUAGUCUACUUUAAUUCACUUCAUGGAUUAAGAUGUCAAAAUUGGUACGGAUAUAUUUGGAUGAUAAAGUCAAUGAGGUUGAUGAAAUAGAUUUGGUUGAUGAAAUAGAUGAAAUAGGUAUCGUGUUAUCUGAAAACCAAUCUUAGUUUUAAAAGUUCAUGAAACAUUUACCAAACUAACUAUACAUUGGCCCACAUACACACACAGAAAUCUCUUAAUUAAUUCCCAAAAUUAGAACUAAUCCAGACUACAUUCUCUGAUAACUAUGCAAUUCAACAAAAAUGAGUGAACAAAAUAAAAGUGAAGAUUAUAUUUUAAAUAUAAACACUACUUAAAACAACUUUGGUGCAAAAAGGAAAUAAAACUGUUUUUGCAGAAUGUGUACAAAAUAAUAAUUAAAACAUUACACACCAAAACCUAUAGAAUACAACUACUACUGUGUUCAGCAGAUAGUCAUGGUUUAAAACAGGAAUACAAGAAAGAAGAAAAACAACAUACUGUUUAACUAAAAAAAUUAGAAAGUGAGAAGUUCUCCUAUGGCACAGCAGGUUAAGGAUCUAGUGUUGCCAUAGCUGUGGUGCAGAUCUCAACUGCUGUGUGGAUUCAAUCCCUGGCCCAGGAACUUCU